rnacentral:rRNA from 1 species
AUUGAACGCUGGCGGCAUGCUUUACACAUGCAAGUCGAACGGCAGCACGGGCUUCGGCCUGGUGGCGAGUGGCGAACGGGUGAGUAAUAUAUCGGAACGUACCCAGAAGUGGGGGAUAACGUAGCGAAAGUUACGCUAAUACCGCAUACGAUCUAUGGAUGAAAGCAGGGGACCGCAAGGCCUUGUGCUCCUGGAGCGGCCGAUAUCUGAUUAGCUAGUCGGUGAGGUAAAGGCUCACCAAGGCGACGAUCAGUAGCUGGUCUGAGAGGACGACCAGCCACACUGGAACUGAGGCACGGUCCAGACUCCUACGGGAGGCAGCAGUGGGGAAUUUUGGACAAUGGGCGCAAGCCUGAUCCAGCAAUGCCGCGUGAGUGAAGAAGGCCUUCGGGUUGUAAAGCUCUUUUGUCAGGGAAGAAACGGUAGAGGCUAAUAUCCUUUGCUAAUGACGGUACCUGAAGAAUAAGCACCGGCUAACUACGUG